CAUACACGUCGAUCCAGAGCAUCCAAAACAUUCUCAAUGUGUGACAUGUCUGGUGAGUAUGUAGGCCAUGGUAGAACUGGGACAUUUUCAGCUUCCAGGAAUUGUGUACAGAUCCUUGUGACAUAGUGCCUGCAUUAUUAUGCUGAUAACAAGCUGAGUUUUAAAGAGAAUGCAGACUGUAUUUUUUUUUAAAGCAAGCCAACACCUGUUCUUAAUCAGGAAAUUAAAGGGGUUUGGGUUCAGCCAGGAUGUUCUGGAGAAGGUGUACAGCAGCUUGGUGGAGAGCAUCCUCAUGUUCAAUAUGACAGUCUGCUAUGGUAAGGAGCAAAAGCAAACUGACCAGAAUAGUACACACAGUCAGCAAAGUAAUUGGUCGACCACAGGCACACUUGAGCAUUCUAUUCCACAAGGCAACCAAACAGAAGACACUGGCUGUCGUUGGCGACCCCUCCCACCCUCUACACCCUCAGUUGGAGACCCUACCCACCCUCAUUUGGAGACCCCUCCCACCCUCUACACCCUCAGUUGGAGACCCCUCCCACCCUCUACACCCUCAGUUCAAGAGGCUUCCCUCGGGCCGGCUCUUCAGAAUGCCCAUGGCCAAGAAGAACAUGUUCAAACAUUCAUUCCUUCCUUGUGCUGUUGGACUACUAAAUACAAAAUUAAAGGUAUCGGAAUAUGUACUUAUCUAGUGCAGUUGGGACAGUGGUCAUUUGAGUGAAUGUAUUAAUGUCCUCAAUGUUGUUAGUGUAUGCAACAUGAUGGACUGACUGGUUUAAAUGUGUAUGAUGUGAGAAUGUAUGUGAUUAUUUUAAUGGAAGGUGAUGUCAAAGUUUUAUUCUAUUCUAAACACGAGGUGAUGGUUGAAAGGCACGACAAUGGAUCUCGUCACGGCAAUUUGAAAGCAGAAAUGCCAUUGUGUUCGUUAUCCGUAGCUUAUGCCUGCCCAUACCAUAACCCCACCUCCACCAUGGGGCACUGGGGUUCACUAAGUUGACAUCAGCAAACCGCUCGCCAUACGGUCUACGGUUGUGAGGCCGGUUGGGCAUAAUUCUUUAAAACAACGUUGGGGGCAGCUUAAGGUAGAGACAUGAACAUUAAAUUCUCUGGCAACAGCUCUGGUGGACAUUCCUGCAGUCAUCAUGCCCCCUCAAAGCAUCUGUGGUAUUGUGUUGUGACAAAACUGCACAUUUUACUGGCCUUUUUGUCCCCAGCACCUGUGUAAUGAUCAUGCUGUUGAAUCAGCUUCUUGGCCACACCUGACAGGUAGAUGGAUUAUCUUGGCAAAGUAGAAAUGCUCACUAACAGGAAUGUAAACAAAUCUGUGUACAAUAUUUCUGAGCAUAUGGAACAUAUUAUUUCAGCUCAUGAAACAUGGGACCAACACUUUUUACAUGUUGGGUUUAUUUUUGUUCAGGAGUACAAAUGUAGUUAAGUCAUAAGUUGCAUGGACUCUGUGCAAUAGUGUUUAACACUGACUACCUCAUCUCUGUACCCCACACCCAGAUAAUUGUAAGGCCCCUCAGUCAAGCAGUGAAUUUCAUACACAGAUUCAACCACAAAGACCAGGGAGAUUUUCCAAUUCCUCGCAAAGGGCACCUAUAUGUAUAAAAAAUGUAAAAAGCAGUCAUUUUGAGCACGGUGAAGUUAAUUACACUUUGGAUGGUGUAUCAAUACACUGUCACUACAAAGACACAGGUGUCCUUCAUAACUCAGAUGAAGGAAACUGCUCAGUGAUUUCACCAUGAGGCCAAAUGGUGACUUUAAAACGGUUAGUGUUUAAUGGAGCAACAGCGUUGUAGUUACUAACCCAACUGACAAGAGUGAAACGAAAGCCUGUACAGAAUUAGAAUAUUCCUUUUUGCAACAAGGCAAUAAAGUUAUACUGCAAUAAAUGUGGCAAAGAACAAGUGAAUUUAUGUUUGGGGCUAAUCCAAUACCUUACAGAGCAUCUCACGCCAUAUUUUCAAGGAUAGUGCUGGCUGCAUCAUGGUUAUGGGUAUGGCUUGUAAUAGUUGGGGAGUUAAGAUACAAAAAGUAAACGGAAUGGAGAUAAGCACAAGCAAAAUCCUAGAGGAAAACUUGGUUCAGUCUGCUUUCCACCAGACACUGGGAGAUUAACCUUUCAGCAGGACAAUAACCUAAAACACAAAGCCAAAUCUACACUGGAGUUGCUUACCAAGACAGUGAAUGUCCCUGAGUGGCUUAAGUAGUUGACUUAAAUCUGCUUGUAAGUUUAUGGGAAGACCUGAAAAUGGUUGUCUAACAAUGAUCAUCAACCAAUUUGACAGCACUUAAUAAAGAUUGUCAAAUGUUGGACAAUCCAGGUGUGGAAAACUUCCCAGAAAGACUCACAGCUGUAAUCGCUGCCAAAGGUGAUUCUAUCAUGUAUUUAUGUACUCAGGUGGUUGAAUAUUUAUCUAAUAUGUUUUUUUUUUUUUUCAAAUGUUAGAAUUUUUCUACUUUGACAGAGUAUUUUGUGUAGAUCUACACUAACAAAAUGUGGAAAAAGUCAAGUGUUUGUCGUAUGAUAUUUCUUAGAAAUAAAAUGUAUGACAAAGCAA